rnacentral:rRNA from 1 species
UACGAGAGGCCCAAACGUUAUUCGGAAUUACUGGGCUUAAAGAGUUCGUAGGCGGCAUGAAAAGCAGGGUGUGAAAGCCCUCGGCUCAACCGAGGAAUUGCGCUCUGAACUGUCGUGCUUGAGGAACCUAGAGGUGAGCAGAACAGAUGGUGGAGCGGUGAAAUGCGUUGAUAUCAUCUGGAAUACCGGAGGCGAAGGCGGCUCACUGGGGGUCUUCUGACGCUGAGGAACGAAAGCCAGGGGAGCGAACGGG